rnacentral:lncRNA from 1 species
GGUAGAGGGAAGCCCCUCAGUGGGGCUACAAGCUGGGUGUGUCACAUCAUUCUGUAUCACAUCCCUUGGGAAGGUCUAAGACUAGGGCCAGCAGUAGCCCUAGCAGGGCCCUUGCUGAGCCUUGGGGAGUGAGUUCCCAGAGAGCAGGACUCCAAGAGAGAGAAAGAGAGAGAGAGGAAAGACUGGAUAGGAGAUGCAAGGGAGUCUGCCCUCACAGAGGAGCCUGUCUGAUACAUCCUUAGCUGUAGCUUGAAACAGAUACUGGCAAAUAGAAUAUAGCAAAUCAUCAAAAAAAAAAAAUACAUCAUGACC